rnacentral:rRNA from 1 species
UACGUAGGUGACCAGCGUUGUCCGGAUUUACUGGGCGUAAAGAGCGCGCAGGCGGUCGUUCAAGUCGAGUGUGAAAGCCCCCGGCUCAACUGGGGAGGGUCAUUCGAUACUGAUCGACUUGAAGGCAGGAGAGGGAAGCGGAAUUCCCGGUGUAGUGGUGAAAUGCGUAGAUAUCGGGAGGAACACCGAUGGCGAAGGCAGCCCCCUGGGUCAAGACUGACGCUCAUGCACGAAAGCGUGGGGAGCAAACAGG